UCUGAUGCAGCGAUGCCGCGUGAGUGAAGAAGGCCUUUGGGUUGUAAAGCUCUUUCGUCGGGGAAGAAAAUGACUGUACCCGAAUAAGAAGGUCCGGCUAACUUCGUGCCAGCAGCCGCGGUAAUACGAAGGGACCUAGCGUAGUUCGGAAUUACUGGGCUUAAAGAGUUCGUAGGUGGUUGAAAAAGUUGGUGGUGAAAUCCCAGAGCUUAACUCUGGAACUGCCAUCAAAACUUUUCAGCUAGAGUAUGAUAGAGGAAAGUAGAAUUUCCAGUGUAGAGGUGAAAUUCGUAGAUAUUAGAAAGAAUACCGAUUGCGAAGGCAGCUUUCUGGAUCAUUACUGACACUGAGGAACGAAAGCAUGGGUAGCGAAGAGGAUUAGAUACCCUCGUAGUCCAUGCCGUAAACGAUGUGUGUUAGACGUUGGAAAUUUAUUUUCAGUGUCGCAGCGAAAGCGAUAAACACACCGCCUGGGGAGUACGACCGCAAGGUUAAAACUCAAAUGAAUUGACGGGGACCCGCACAAGUAGUGGAGCAUGUGGUUUAAUUCGAAGAUACGCGCAGAACCUUACCAACACUUGACAUGUUCGUCGCGACUCUAAGAGAUUAGAGUUUUCGGUUCGGCCGGACGAAACACAGGUGCUGCAUGGCUGUCGUCAGCUCGUGUCGUGAGAUGUUGGGUUAAGUCCCGCAACGAGCGCAACCCUCACUUUUAGUUGCCAUCAUUAAGUUGGGCACUC
rnacentral:rRNA from 1 species